rnacentral:rRNA from 1 species
CCUACGGGAGGCAGCAGUGAGGAAUAUUGGUCAAUGGGCGCAAGCCUGAACCAGCCAAGUCGCGUGAGGGAUGACGGUCCUAUGGAUUGUAAACCUCUUUUGUCGGGGAGCAAGGCCCGCCACGUGUGGCGGGCAGGAGAGUACCCGAAGAAAAAGCAUCGGCUAACUCCGUGCCAGCAGCCGCGGUCAUACGGAGGAUGCGAGCGUUAUCCGGAUUUAUUGGGUUUAAAGGGAGCGUAGGUGGAUUGUUAAGUCAGUUGUGAAAGUUUGCGGCUCAACCGUAAAAUUGCAGUUGAAACUGGCAGUCUUGAGUACAGUAGAGGUGGGCGGAAUUCGUGGUGUAGCGGUGAAAUGCUGAGAUAUCACGAAGAACUCCGAUUGCGAAGGCAGUUCACUGGACUGCAACUGACACUGAGGCUCGAAAGUGUGGGUAUCAAACAGGAUUAGAUACCCGAGUAGUC